UUCCAGACUCCUACGGGAGGCAGCAGUGGGGAAUAUUGCACAAUGGGGGAAACCCUGAUGCAGCAACGCCGCGUGAAGGAAGACGGUUUUCGGAUUGUAAACUUCUGUUCUUAGUGAAGAAGAAUGACGGUAGCUAAGGAGCAAGCCACGGCUAACUACGUGCCAGCAGCCGCGGUAAUACGUAGGUGGCGAGCGUUGUCCGGAAUUACUGGGUGUAAAGGGAGCGUAGGCGGGAGAGCAAGUCGACUGUGAAAUCUAUGGGCUUAACCCAUAGCUGCGAUCGAAACUGUUCAUCUUGAGUGAAGUAGAGGCAGGCGGAAUUCCUAGUGUAGCGGUGAAAUGCGUAAAUAUUAGGAGGAACACCAGUGGCGAAGGCGGCCUGCUGGGCUUUAACUGACGCUGAGGCUCGAAAGCGUGGGUAGCAAACAGGAUUAGAUACCCCCGUAC
rnacentral:rRNA from 1 species